rnacentral:lncRNA from 1 species
GUCACAAAUAAAUUUUUUUAUAGAUCACAGAUUAUUUCGAUGGUCACAGAUCUAAAAAUUUAUAGGUUACAAUUUAUUUUAAUGGUCACCAAUCUAAAAAGUUAUAGGUCACAUAUUUUCAAAAUUUGUUGAUGACAGUUAAAUAUUUGGUCACAUAUGAUCACAUAAGUCAAAUAGUGGUCACAGACCACCGUGACUAACACUAUCGCACAGCCACUGCCAUUACGACCACUUGUGACCACCCUCAACCUAUUACCGUCGCUAAGGUAAUAUGGUCACAGAUAACUAAAUAGUUGGUCACACUUAUCAAAUAAUGGUCACAGACCACCACCAUCGCAUCAUCAUUGACGUCACGGUUACUUGCAACCACUCUCACCUCGUUAUCGAUGCCAGCACCAGCACCAAAACCAACACCAGCAAAAGCAAAAAUCAAGACAACCACAACCAAUAACCACCACCUCCAUCACUAGAAACCACAAUGACUGCCACCACCACACAUACCAACAAAUACCCAAUUUGAUGGAAAACCACCACGAUUUUCACCACCAAACCACCACGAUUGUCACCACCAAAAACGACGACAACACAUAACCAAUGUCUCCACCGCCAACAAGACCACCGCUGUAAACUACACAAUAUCACUGCACCACCAUCCAAACCCUAUCGCCACCACCAUCCACAUCUGAACACACCACGUCACACCGCUACAGCCACCACCAAAAGAUCAGUAUUCAUACCAUUCAAACACCGACAGAUCAAUAUUCACACGGCACCACCACCACAUCCACUACCACUCCAAAAACCAACACACACCUGACAAUGCACCAAUAAACUUCCACACACUGAACCAUCUUGUGCGUGCCGUGAUGCUAUUACAUUGCCAUCGAC